GGGAGUUAUAGGGUCGUCGCUGCUAACGAUGAUUAGAAUAUUGGUUUAUUCAGCUUCCU
rnacentral:tRNA from 1 species